rnacentral:lncRNA from 1 species
GGAUAUCAAUAUAGAAAAGUCUCUCUUGACUCUUGAUGCACAAAAAUAAAUUCUAGAUGAAUCAUAGAUCUUGAUAGGCAAGAUAAAAUAAUAAAGCUCUUACAAAAAAUAUAGACAAUUUUCAUCUGGGAGGGGGAAAACAUGCUAAACAAUUGGCCUAAGAAAUCUAGGCAAAAAUUUCUUAAAUAGUAUUCAAAAUGGUACACGAAAAGGUCCAAUUAUAAGCAAAAAUUGAUAAAUUGUGUUCAUCAAAAUUAUUAAAAUGAAAAGGCAAGCUUCAGAAUGGGACUUGUAUUUAUAAUAUAUAAAGAACUCCUAUUAUUAUUGUAUGGGAGUCUAAGUCUCUUUGUAAGUCUUUAAGGACUUGCUUUAUGAAUCUGGGUGCUCCUUUAUUGGGUGCAUAUAUAUUUAGGAUAGUUAGCUCUUCCUGUUGAAUUGAUCCCUUUACCAUUAUGUAAUGGCCUUCUUUGUCUCUUUUUUUUUGAGAUGGAGUCUGGCUCUGUCUCCCAGGCUGGAGUGCAGUGGCACGAUCUUGGCUCACUGCAACCUCUGCCUCCCAGGUUCAAGCGAUUCUCCUGCCUCAGCUUCCUGAGUAGCUGAGAUCACAGGUGCCCACCACCAUGCCUGGCUAAUUUUUGUAUUUUUAGUAGAGAUGGGGUUUCACCAUGUUGGCCAGGCUGGUCUUGAACUCCUGACCUGAGGUAAUCUACCUGCCUCAGCCUCCCAAAGUGCUGGGAUUACAGGCGUGAGCCACCACUUCUGGCCUGUUUGCAUAUUGUUGUGAUAACAAAUUGCACUCCAGCUGGGGCAACAGGGUGAGACUCCAUCUCAAAAUAAUAAUAAUAAUAAUAAUAAUAAUAAUAAUAAUAAUAAUAAACUAGAACUUCAAAAUUGUAAACGGGGAAAGAAUUGUAUACUGUUUCUAGGCUCCUCCCAUGCCAUCUCAGUUUGCUCAGCAUCUCUGUAUUUACUUAGCAUUGUAGCCGUUUUUGGAAUCUCCCACACCAAGUUUUGAGGAACUUCAAGAU